GUCAUUGCGCAGGCACUUUGGUGACUCUAGAUAACCUCGGGCUCAUCGCACGUUCCCGUGACGGAGACGACGCAUUCGGAUGUCUGCCCUAUAAACUUUCGAUGGUACUUUCUGCGCCUACCAUGGUGACCUUGGGUAACGGGGAAUCAGGGUUCGAUUCCAGAGAGGGAGCCUGAGAAAUGGCUACCUUAUCCAAGGAAGGCAGCAGGCGCGCAAAUUCUUUAACGAGGAUCUAUUGGAGGG